AGGGCCCUGAUUGGGCCGGACAGGAGGCGCAGGAGAGGCCCGGGCUUCUAAAGGACACCAACAGGUGGGAGGCCGCUUUGGAGGGGGGCGCUCCUGGCGGGAUAGAAAAGGCCGAUCUGCAAGGCCUGUUGUGGGCACAAUCCACCGGGCCAGAUACGGAGGAGGAUGGUUGAUCACAGGAGAGCUGAGGUGAAGGCAGGAGGAAGUUAAGACAGGGAACAGGGGGUGAGUUUGGGGUUUGAAGGUUUGAAAGGGCAGCUUCAGGGACGAGGUUGGUCUGAGAGUCAGGUCUUUUCUGUGUGUUUGUGGUUGUAAUGCUCAUUUUUUAAAUUUUCUAGGAAGCCUUUUUUCUUAGUUAUGUCAAAGUAUGACAUCAACAAAUGGGCGACAGUCUUCCAGAUUCAGACGCUGCUCGCUUCCUAGUCCAACUCUCCUUGAUCUGCAGCACCAUGUGAAUAAAAAUCAGGCUUCAGAGCAGCUGUUAGAUGUUUUCUGUGAGUUUUACGACACACGCAGACCCUGACGCCUCUGUCAGGUGAGGGGGGAAGCUGAGGUGUGACACAGGAAAGAAUCAGUGAACUCUCAUCACCGUCUAAUCAAAGUCUCUCGAACGGCCAUUUGGCUCAGAGCUAGUUGACACAGCAGUGGUGGUUAGACUUAUCAAGGAAGUCACCGGUAGACAGCGUAGGAGAAGGCUUGUGGCCUCACGCUCAACUUCAGCUGCUCACCAAGAGAAAACCACAAGAGGAGGCGCAACAGAAUUCCAUAAAGGUAAGGCUGAAGAGGACGUGACGGCCUCGCCGAUGAUCUCCACCUUCUAUUUCUCCUCUCUCGUUUCCUUCUUUUCCUAUGUCCUCUACCCCUGUAACCUUCCUUCCUUCUACCCCCCCUCCACUCCUCGCUGCAUGCCUCCCCCCUCCUGCCCUCCCGCUCCCUCCCCCCCUCGCUCUGCCUCUUGCAGCUGAAGCAACACGCCUUGCUGUGGCUGGUCAAACGGAACCAAGUCAGGUGUUUCUGUGAGGUUUGGUCCCCUUCAACCAGCUACUGCGUCGUGAAUUCAGUCAGCGUGGACUCAGAGACACAGUGGUGUUGCGGUGUACGCUGCAUACUCUGGAGGUGGUAGUUAGCUGUAAUAGGUUGUUUCUCUUCUUCAGUAGUUUGGUGUUUUCCUGUGUGGCGGUGGAUGUUUGAGAAAGAAAAUAAAAGAUUGCUGAACACAUAAAA